rnacentral:rRNA from 1 species
AUUGAACGCUGGCGGCAGGCCUAACACAUGCAAGUCGAGCGGAUGAAGGGAGCUUGCUCCUGGAUUCAGCGGCGGACGGGUGAGUAAUGCCUAGGAAUCUGCCUGGUAGUGGGGGAUAACGUCCGGAAACGGGCGUUAAUACCGCAUACGUCCUGAGGGAGAAAGUGGGGGAUCUUCGGACCUCACGCUAUCAGAUGAGCCUAGGUCGGAUUAGCUAGUUGGUGGGGUAAAGGCCUACCAAGGCGACGAUCCGUAACUGGUCUGAGAGGAUGAUCAGUCACACUGGAACUGAGACACGGUCCAGACUCCUACGGGAGGCAGCAGUGGGGAAUAUUGGACAAUGGGCGAAAGCCUGAUCCAGCCAUGCCGCGUGUGUGAAGAAGGUCUUCGGAUUGUAAAGCACUUUAAGUUGGGAGGAAGGGCAGCAAGUUAAUACCUUGCUGUUUUGACGUUACCAACAGAAUAAGCACCGGCUAACUUCGUG